UACGUAGGGUGCGAGCGUUUGUCCGGAAUUAUUGGGCGUAAAGGGCUCGUAGGCGGUUUGUCGCGUCGGGAGUGAAAACCUAUGGCUUAACUGUGGGCUUGCUUUCGAUACGGGCAGACUAGAGGUAUGCAGGGGAGAGUGAAUUCCUGGUGUAGCGGUGAAAUGCGUAGAUAUCAGGAGGAAUACCGGUGGCGAAAGGCGGUCUCUGGCGGAC
rnacentral:rRNA from 1 species